GGGUGAGUGCCGGAGUGGUCUAACGGGUUGCACUUGAAAUGCAAUGGCGCAAGCCUCGCAGGUUCGAAUCCUGUCUCAUCCG